GCUAAGUGUAGGGGACGAAGAUGCAGUAAUCUAAGGAGAGCUGGGCACCUCUUUGCCUCUCAACCACUACAGCACCUGCAACCUCCUUCAGAGGACUGGAGCUUCAUCAGCUGCAUGAGCAGAGCUGCAAGUGCCUGGGAGUUUAUGCCCUGACCCCAGCCCCCAAGCAGCCUGAAGCCAAUGAUGUCUUGUGCAGGAGUAGGAAAGCUCAGCUCCCUCAAGCGAGGACAAGCUCUAAGGUGCAACCCACACUCUGAAGCCCUCCACAGGAUUAGGCUGAGGCUGAGACUUCACUGGAAAUCCCAUCCUUCCCUGGCUUCUGCCCCUUCCCUGGCCUGCUUCCCCCACUCCCUAGUUCUCCUGGAAGUCCUUCCCCAAUAAAUUAUCAGCAUGCGGAUGAUUGGGGUCUGCUUUAGGAAAUGCUGACCUAAGAUGGGUACCAUAAAUUAAAAGGGGCAGCUGGGCACAGUGGCUCACGCCUAUAAUCUGCCAAGGCCGGCGGAUCACUUGAGCUCGGGAUUUCGAGACCAGCCUGGCCAACAUGGUGAAAUCCCAUCUCUACUAAAAAUACAAAAAUGAGCCGGGCAUGGUGGUGCACACCUGUAGUCCCAGCUACUCAGGAGGCUGAGGCAGGAGAAUUGCUUGAACCUAGGAGGUGGAGGCUGCAGUGAGUCAAGAUUGUGCCACUGCACUCCAGCCUAGAUGAUAGAGACUCUGUCUCCAAAAAAAAAAGGUGUGGGGUAGCAUUGAGCGACUGAGCGUCCAGGCCAGUGAGGACUUUGGUCAUCAGGCUGAGUGAGUAGACAAGCCUGGAAGGAGUUUGUCCUAGAAAGAGAAGACCGAGAAGGUGAUUGGCCAUUUUCUGCAACAUCUGAAGGGUCCACCUGUGAGAGAGCGGGCGGAACAGUGUGGGGUCACUUCAGAAGUCAGAACUGCCCUUUGAGAGGGCAGAUGGAACAGUGUGGGGUCGAUCCAGAAGCCAGAACUGCCCUGUGCUGGUUAAUUUCAUGUGUCAACAUGGCUAGGCUAUGGUGCCAGUUGUUUGAUCAAACACUGGUCUAGAUGUUGCUGUGAAAGUAUUUUUUUAGAUGUGAUUAACAUUUAAAUCAGUAGACUUUGACUGAAGUAGCUUAUUCCCCAUAACUUGCUGGGCCUCGUUCAAUCAAGUGAAGCUUUAAGAGAAAAGACUGAGAUCCCCCAAAGAGAAAGAGAUUCUGCCUCCAGGUUGCUUUUGGACUUAAGACAGCAAAGUCAACUCAUGUUGGAAUUUCCACAGCCCCAAAAUUGUGUGAGUCAAUUCUGUGAAAUAAAUCUCUUUCUGUCUGUCUGUCUCUCUCUCUCUCUCUCUCUCUCUCUCUCUAUAUAUAUAUAUAUAUACACACACACAUAUACACAUACACACACACACACAUAGACACACACACAUACACAGAUACACACCCUAUUGGUGGUUCUGUUUCUCUGGAACACCCUAACACAUGCCCUAAACUGGGGCCGGCUUCAGGUUGGUAGCAGCCAGCAGGGUUCACCACAGGAGCCUGUCAAGUCAGGGCAGUGUAGACACUGAAUGGGAGUAGGGGAGAAUAGGGACCCACACCCAAGGGACAUGCAAGUCAGCAGCAGGAACACAUCCUAAAGGCUCACUGAGGACGGCCCUGCCGCCCUAAGCCCUAGCUGAGCAGCUGAGCAGAGGCCGUGGGGCAGUGGAGCAGGGGGACCAACCCCAGAGCCUUUCCUGGUACCUCUACAGAGAAGUGUGUUGACAUGCCUGGCACCUGCCAAGUGGGGUGAGACUGGAGUUCCUCAUCAGCUCCACUGGGGACUCUGAGCCUGAGACCAAUGUUCUCAUCUCCCCGACUCCCA
rnacentral:lncRNA from 1 species